rnacentral:rRNA from 1 species
CUACGGGCGGCUGCAGUGAGGAAUAUUGCACAAUGGGGGGAACCCUGAUGCAGCAACGCCGCGUGGAGGAUGACGCAUUUCGGUGUGUAAACUCCUUUUAUAUGUCAAGAAAAUGACGGUAGCAUAUGAAUAAGCACCGGCUAACUCCGUGCCAGCAGCCGCGGUAAUACGGAGGGUGCAAGCGUUACUCGGAAUCACUGGGCGUAAGGACGCGUAGGCGGGUUGGAAAGUCAGGUGUGAAAUCCUACAGCUUAACUGUAGAACUGAACUUGAAACUUCUAAUCUAGAGUAUGGGAGGGGGAGAUGGAAUUAGUGGUGUAGGGGUAAAAUCCGUAGAUAUCACUAGGAAUACCUAAAGCGAAGGCGAUCUCCUGGAACAUUACUGACGCUAAGGCGUGAAAGCGUGGGGAGCAAACAGGAUUAGAUACCCCUGUAGUC